GCUGAGCCUCUCUGGGUGUUUCCUUGUUUAUAUUCUUGUUUUAGUUUACUUGCACUUUCCAGAGUUUGUGACACAGCUUUUUCUCUCCGUGUGGAGCUCAAGCUGAAGGACGCAUAAGAGAACAGACCCUGCUGAACCUGGACCUGAACCUGAACCUGAACCCAGUUGUGUCCAUGGAGACACUGCUACUUAAAAAAAGACCUGUAAGGCGACUUGAAAUGGAGGAGAGGCUGCUUGAAAUGGAGGAAAGGCAACUUAAAAUGGAGGAGAGGCAACUUGAAAUGGAGGAGAGAGGAUUGAUGGAGAGACUUGAAUGGCAGAAGGAGAGAAUAGCAAUGGAAAGGGAAAUUGAAAUGUUAAGAAGAAGAUUGAGGACCCAUCCAAAACCAGAGUCUCCUGAACCUGAACCUGGACCUAUACCUAAACGUGAACCUGAACCUGGACCUGGACCUGGACCUG